AUUCUCUUACUGGCUCAAAACUGUGAUGACUGGGUGUCUACAUGUUUGUGUCACAUGUACCACCACAAAUCUUGUUAUGAUAUCUGUAUAUUACCUGUCUGACU